CACAGUCAUCCCCCUCUGACGAGAUCUCUCCUUCCCAAUUCCAGAGGAACUUCCUGAAUUGCCACCCCUCCCCAGCUGGAUCCGCGUUACCUUUGUAGUGAAAAAACAGCCUGAGAAGGAAACAAGCGAUGUCAAGAAGAAGGCCAGUCAGCUGCCAGCGGUCCCGGGGGCGUCUUCUGCCAAAAAGCAGCCUCAGAAAAAAAAGAAGGGAAAAUGCUCUACCAAAAGCAAGGCGGCAGAGAUGGCUCCAGCAGAGGCAGCGCAACCUCCAAGUGGCAAAGAAGAAGAACACGGCGCGGUGAAAGCCCCCGCUGGAGGAGGAGUGCCACAAAAGGCACAGGCCAAGCUCAGAAAGCACCGUGGAGCCCCAGCCCUGCAACAAACACCACUGGCAGCCCUAUGGUCCUCGAGCUCUGAGACCAGCCUGCCCGAGGAGCGCACCUACAGCGCCUCUGCUGCGGUGCCACUGAUGCACAGGAGGACCAGAUCUCUGCAGAGUCAGCCACCAAAGACCAAAGCGGGGCUCCCCAGGCGGGGGAUGUCCUGUCCACGCUGACCAGGGCAUGGGGUGCCCAGGAGAAGCAGAGCUCCACCUGAGGCUGCCAAACAGCUGUUUGCCUUUGGCAGAGAGUGCUGAGGAGUGUUUACUUGAGGAAGGUGUGGGCUGUG
ensembl:lncRNA